rnacentral:rRNA from 1 species
UCGAACGCGAAAGUCCCGAAAGGGAUGAGUAGAGUGGCAAACGGGUGAGUAACACGUGGGUGACCUGCCUCCGAGUGGGGGAUAACGUCCCGAAAGGGACGCUAAUACCGCAUAACAUCCCGCCUUUUAACAGGUGGAGAUCAAAGCUGGGGAUCGUAAGACCUAGCGCUUGAAGAGGGGCCCGCGCCUGAUUAGCUAGUUGGUGGGGUAAUGGCUCACCAAGGCAACGAUCAGUAUCCGGCCUGAGAGGGCGGACGGACACACUGGGACUGAGACACGGCCCAGACUCCUACGGGAGGCAGCAGUGGGGAAUUGUUCGCAAUGGGCGCAAGCCUGACGACGCAACGCCGCGUGGAGGAUGAAGACCUUCGGGUCGUAAACUCCUUUCGAUCGAGACGAAUGGCCUCCGGGCGAAUAUCCCGGAGGAGUGACGGUACCGAGAGAAGAAGCCCCGGCUAACUCCGUGCCAGCAGCCGCGGUAAUACGGGGGGGGCAAGCGUUGUUCGGAAUUACUGGGCGUAAAGGGCUCGUAGGUGGCCAACUAAGUCAGACGUGAAAUCCCUCGGCUUAACCGGGGAACUGCGUCUGAUACUGGAUGGCUUGAGUUUGGGAGAGGGACGCGGAAUUCCAGGUGUAGCGGUGAAAUGCGUAGAUAUCUGGAGGAACACCGGUGUCGAAGCGGCGUCCUG